rnacentral:rRNA from 1 species
UGGGGAAUAUUGCACAAUGGGGGAAACCCUGAUGCAGCGACGCCGCGUGAGUGAGGAAGUAUUUCGGUAUGUAAAGCUCUAUCAGCAGGGAAGAAAAUGACGGUACCUGACUAAGAAGCCCCGGCUAACUACGUGCCAGCAGCCGCGGUAAUACGUAGGGGGCAAGCGUUAUCCGGAUUUACUGGGUGUAAAGGGAGCGUAGACGGCUAGUCAAGUCAGAAGUGAAAGCCCAGGGCUCAACCUUGGGACUGCUUUUGAAACUGAGUAGCUAGAGUGCAGGAGAGGUAAGCGGAAUUCCUAGUGUAGCGGUGAAAUGCGUAGAUAUUAGGAGGAACACCAGUGGCGAAGGCGGCUUACUGGACUGUAACUGACGUUGAGGCUCGAAAGCGUGGGGAGCAAACAGG